rnacentral:lncRNA from 1 species
UUACUGUUGCCAUUACUAUUAUUAUUAUUUGAAACAAAAUUAUCAAGAGAAUUUGUGAACUUGCAUGUAAACUAGAAAUUCAUUGAUAUUACGAACUAAAGAAAAUUGAUCUUAACCCACACGAAGGUCAUGUAUACCGAGCCAAAGUUGAGUGAGAGAAGACCAAAUUUGCACAUAACAUAUGGGAAAUGUAAUCAAUAAAUCAAGCUGAAAGUCGUGGGGUCUCCCAAAUUGGAAAACAAAAGUAAUAUCAAUCAAGGUUUGAGCAAACUAGCAACAAAAGAGAAAGAGGGUCAUAUUGAUAUUCGACAGAGAAUGGUAAGGGUCAACAUAAACUUUCAAAUUUGGGCGUGCACAAUAAAUUAUUACAACAUUAGAAUCUCAUAUCCAAAUAGGAUUUUUACAGAAAAUCCACACAAACACUUUAUUAGGGUGAUUCAGGUAAAAGAAACCAUUUUACACCAACUUAAGCAUAAACAUCAUACUUUUGAAUUUGUAUGGACAGCAUAGAAUGACAAUCAGGUACAUUAUCUACUGGAAU